UACUUAAAGGCAUUCCAUGCAGUUUGAUGUUUUUGUCAAACAGCGACCCCUAGAGUCACUGGGGAAAACUUGCAACUGUCGUAAUUUCGCACGCCCACUCUGUACGUACCUGUUAGGAUAGUGUUGGGCGUGAGAUGGACUUCGAAGAUAAUGACCAGGGAAUGUUUCACAGUUUCAUACAAAUAUUAGGCUACUGCAUGUCUACUAAACUACAGAUGAUGGUAAUAGGAUAAUAUGAAGUUUAUGCCAAGUGUAGAGUAGGCAUAUAAUAAUAAAAGUAGCCUACCGCGUUUGCUGGCUUAUUACGUUUUUACAAGAUUGCAGCUUAAUCACAAGUAAACAGUCUAUAGUCUAACGUUAUGUCUACUGUAUAAUUUCAUUUGUUUUUUAAUUGUAAUGUAAACAUUACAAAAUGUAUUGACAAAGUUAAUUGUAUACGUUGCAUUAUUUCAUAACAUUGGCCGUUAUUCGUUGGCCAUAAGCAAUCGAAAUUAGACAAAUGACUACGUACACAUCACAACACAACACUUGAGUUUAGAUGGCCAAAAAAAACAUGUAAGAGAAACGAGUGUUUGUUAGCAAGUCUGCUAAAUGCUCUUAUGAUCGUAAGCUAGCUAGACCCUUGUUGAAGUUAUUUUACUGGUCUAAUUAUCAACACUGGAUGAAUGAACAGCUUAGUAAAAAAAUACACACUACAAGCAAGCGCAACCACAUACAACAUAGACCGCAAACAAAUUUACAAAUAAAAGAUUUACUUACUUGUCCAUCAACAAGAUCGCCAGAUCAGCAUCCCUUUUGCAUCCAGGGCUGUCUAUUAGCUCACGCCAACGAGUAAAAACCUGACCGCGUGGGACUCUUGUCCAGUUCCUAACUCGGUCAGAUUCUCUUUUUCGCUUUCUACUCUCUUCCGAACGGAUUUUCUUAGCUGUUUCCCUCAUCGAGCAUCACGUCUCAAAUGCGCGCGUGCAGUUGUUGUUACAGGCUUGUUGUUACAGGCUUGUUUGACUUCGUGCAGCGCUGCAGGAACCAACAGCCGGAUGACGUCAAAGUGCCGUCUCGGAUCAUUCUCGCGGUACUUUUACGUCAUCCGACUGCCGGUUCUUGCAGCGCUGCACGAAGUCGAACAAGCCUAACGUGUGUGACGUCGUUGCCGUAAAGCAAGUCGUGAUUCUCGCGAGAUUUGUCAGGGGCGGUUCUCUCAAGCUUGCAUUGCUGGUUUUGGUAGCGGCGUCCUUCCCGAGCUUCAACAGGGGGAUGAUUCGCCAUACUAUGACUUCGUUUACCAUCGAAAUGACUUUGAAGCUGUUAUAUUAAGGUAAAAUAACUGCAUAGUGUGUCUUUAAAGCAAUAAAAUUGAGUUUGCACACAAAAUGGCACCUCCUAAACAGAAGGUGGCAGUAACGCUCAAUAAAAAGGACGUCAAUCGCCAUAAAAGAAGAAUAAAGAUCGUUUGUUUUGAGCGCCAAAAUGAAGACAGCACAGCAGUCAGUCAGAAGAACUCUCUCAGACGGACACCACAUUAUUAAAGUAAGUUCUAUUAUUUAUUUAUGUUCACUUUAUACGUGAUACAUCUUCACUAGAUAGACAGUUUUUUUUUUACAAUAUGUAGCCAUUGCAAUGACUUGUAGUAAAAAUGAGUUUGGAGGAUGUUGGUGGAGUAAGUUAACGUUACAGUCAGUCAGUCAGUAAGUGUAAGGCUCAUAAAGAAAAACAACGUUUUAAAAAUGUCAGCUGUAUAACGUUAUUUCACGUUUGGUAGUUUUAUCCGAGUUGAAAACUGUCAGAUUUGAGUUGACUUUUGAGGCACUUUUUACUCAGUUGUUCUAUGGAAACGGUUCAGGACAAAUAAAACGCUAACCAAACGUUAUUCUGUCCAGAGUAACGUUAUCCAUGUAAGUAAUUUACCAGAUGAUAUCAAUUGACUACAUUAAUAAUGACAUUGUGUAUGAAACAAACUGUCUGCUUAAUCAGAUGAACAGACCCGCGUCAGUUAUUCGUGACUUCACUACGCCAUGAGCAACACUUGAUUCAAUUAGAAAAAGCUUUUUUUAAAUGCCUCGCGUGACGUCUGGUAUAUUAACUGAAAAAAUUGCUUUGAAGUGCCACACCUUAAAGCUGACGUUUUCAGAAGAGCACCUUGUUUUAAGAUCUCAUUUUGUCCAAAAUUGCGUCCUAUGACAGAUAUAAUACUUAUUUCAUUAUUGCUCUGUGUAACGUUAUGUGUGACCUUAAUCAUUUGAGGUUGUGUGUUGAUUUCACCUCUGAAUAUUUCCUCUUAUAGGUCCAUCAUCCUUGCACACACUCAAAAGCAUUGAUAAAUGCUGAAUUUAAAAGAAUCACUACUGUCUAAUGUUCCUGCGUGUCACCUGGACCUCCAAUCCAAAAACCUGACGAAACUCUUCUAUCAGAAAGGAGGACAGCUAGCAAAAAGACUUCAAACAAUGAAUGAUCAAAUGACAGAAGGCAUGGAUGAAGUCAGCAUCAGUGUGGUCAUUUGAAGACACCACUGUUGGGAUUUGUGCUCUCAAACAACAUGCUUCUUGUGAUGAAGAAGAGGAUCUUUGUAUAGUCCUGGAAGGCAUGAAGGUGUUGCAACAUCGUGCCAUGUUGUUUGAGCUGAUGUAUGCCUUAAACCUGAGCUAUCCUGAUCUCUGCUUUAUUUUUGAAGAAAUCCAAAAGAUUUUAAUGGAACUGCAUUGAGCGUAACUUUAACGAACCGUUUCUUUCAGUGAAAGGAUCAGAAAGACUGUGCUGCUCAUUUAUGUUCUUUUUAUUUAUCUGUUUUAAGUGUUUUUUCUUAUUAAAACAUUAACCGUUUGCUGCUCAGAGUUGAUUUUGGAAAUGGUUGUUGUAUUUUGUUUUUGUUGAAUCUUUGAUUAUCAGUUUAUACAAAUGCUUUAGCUCUGACUUUCUGAAGGAUUGAUAUUUUCCAGUUUGUAAAUCCAUUUAAAAAAUAAUAGUACUUACUGUUUUGCAUGUCUCUUUGGAAUGCAGUGUUUGUGCUUUAGCACUUCUAAAUCUACUGUGAUAGUAACUAUUUUAAACAUUUGGGUCAGUUUUACAGAUGGGGCUUUUUCUAGUCCCAGACUUUUGCAAUGCCUUAAUUUGAAAACAUAUUGCACUGACAUAUCUUGACAUAUAUCAGUGCCAUUGUUUUGUCUCAAGAUGUACUCCAGUGUUGUUUUUGUAAGGUAGGUUUGUUUGUAAACUUUUUUUGUAAAAAAUAUCCUAAUAUAACUAGGGCCUAGUCAUGGCUUAAUCCACAACCUGUCUGGGAAAUUGCCCCUUUGUAUGUACUGCAUGUGCUGAUUGUUGUAAUAGUUAUUGACUGUUGUUGAAUUAAUGUGUAGUGAUUUAAAUGAAUUGAUGAUCUGAAAGCAGUGGUUUGCCUCAAUAUCACUAAACAUUUGUUCAAAACUCUUUGCUUUUUAUGCCAAUGCAAAUGUAUUUUGUAUUUAAAAAAUAAAUAAAUAACAUUUGGAUAAUUAUGGGUGAUUAUUCUGGUGCCAGAGACAUAAUGAAAUUGCUUUAGAGUUACAUAAUCCCAUAAUAUAAGCAUUAAAAAAGCAUGUUGGAAUUACAGAUGAAAAUCUAGUCCCCUUACAUAAUAAAAUUACUUAAACAUUACAAAAUAAAUGUGUUAUAGUAAAGAGAAAUAGCACUUUGAGUCAACAUAUUUA